CAAUAGGCUUUAAAAAAAGCCACAACACACACAAAGAAAAGGGGUGG
rfam:Anolis carolinensis chromosome 5, whole genome shotgun sequence.